rnacentral:rRNA from 1 species
CCUACGGGUGGCAGCAGUGAGGAAUAUUGGACAAUGGGGGGAACCCUGAUCCAGCCAUGCCGCGUGUGUGAAGAAGGCCCUCGGGUUGUAAAGCACUUUCAGUGAGGAAGAACGCCUGGUGGUUAAUACCCAUCAGGAAAGACAUCACUCACAGAAGAAGCACCGGCUAACUCCGUGCCAGCAGCCGCGGUAAUACGGAGGGUGCGAGCGUUAAUCGGAAUUACUGGGCGUAAAGCGCGCGUAGGUGGCUUGAUAAGCCGGUUGUGAAAGCCCCGGGCUCAACCUGGGAACGGCAUCCGGAACUGUCAAGCUAGAGUGCAGGAGAGGAAGGUAGAAUUCCCGGUGUAGCGGUGAAAUGCGUAGAGAUCGGGAGGAAUACCAGUGGCGAAGGCGGCCUUCUGGACUGACACUGACACUGAGGUGCGAAAGCGUGGGUAGCAAACAGGAUUAGAUACCCGAGUAGUC